rnacentral:lncRNA from 1 species
AUACAAAAUUUUACCAGUGCUAUUAAUGGAAGAAGGAAAUAUAAAAAGUAACUUUUCACAGAUAGCAUUUCAAUAAUAAAAAAAUGAUUUUGAACUUCUAUUAAUAAAGUCUUAUCCUUAACUCAUUGUUUCUUCAUGUUUUCAGGAGAAUCAAGAAUCAGAAACCCCAAAAAAGAAGAAAAAAGAAAAAAAAAAAACGAAAGUCAGAACAGUGGUUGAAGCCAUCGAAACGAAUGGAACAAACAACGAUGAAGAAACUGCUGAGCCUCCCAAGAAGAAGAAAAAGAAGAAGAAGGGAGAAAUGAAUGGAACUGCAGACGAAAGUGUUAACUUUAUGCAAAAUGACCUCGAAGAAAUGACAAAUGGGGUAAGAAGCUAGUAGCCCUACCAAGAAGAAAAAGAAAAAGAAUAAGCAAGGAUCAGUUGCUGUAGAAGAGAACGAAGAAAAUGAAGUUGUUGAGGCUGCAUCCCCGAAGAAGAAAAGAAGAAGAAGAAGAGUGCAGGCCUUGAAGAUGUAAUGAGCUGUAAGAUAUUUUUUGUUUCUGAACUUGUUAUUCCUGAAAGUAAAGGAGAAGAAAUGUCAAGGUUACUUUUAAAAUUCCACAGGAAACUUUGUUACUGUUUUUUUUAAAUCUGCUUUUAUCACCACUAUUAUGGGGCAACUAUUUGGAUCGCAAAAAGAUUUGAUGUUGGUUUAAUUUUGCUUUUACUAUGUCCGGUGCACGCAUCUACGCUCUGUAAGCCGUAAUUA